rnacentral:rRNA from 1 species
GGGUUGUGAGGUUAAGCGACUAAGCGUACACGGUGGAUGCCCUGGCAGUCAGAGGCGAUGAAGGACGUGCUAAUCUGCGAUAAGCGUCGGUAAGGUGAUAUGAACCGUUAUAACCGGCGAUUUCCGAAUGGGGAAACCCAGUGUGUUUCGACACACUAUCAUUAACUGAAUCCAUAGGUUAAUGAGGCGAACCGGGGGAACUGAAACAUCUAAGUACCCCGAGGAAAAGAAAUCAACCGAGAUUCCCCCAGUAGCGGCGAGCGAACGGGGAGCAGCCCAGAGCCUGAAUCAGUGUGUGUGUUAGUGGAAGCGUCUGGAAAGGCGCGCGAUACAGGGUGACAGCCCCGUACACAAAAAUGCACAUGCUGUGAGCUCGAUGAGUAGGGCGGGACACGUGGUAUCCUGUCUGAAUAUGGGGGGACCAUCCUCCAAGGCUAAAUACUCCUGACUGACCGAUAGUGAACCAGUACCGUGAGGGAAAGGCGAAAAGAACCCCGGCGAGGGGAGUGAAAAAGAACCUGAAACCGUGUACGUACAAGCAGUGGGAGCACGCUUAGGCGUGUGACUGCGUACCUUUUGUAUAAUGGGUCAGCGACUUAUAUUCUGUAGCAAGGUUAACCGAAUAGGGGAGCCGAAGGGAAACCGAGUCUUAACUGGGCGUUAAGUUGCAGGGUAUAGACCCGAAACCCGGUGAUCUAGCCAUGGGCAGGUUGAAGGUUGGGUAACACUAACUGGAGGACCGAACCGACUAAUGUUGAAAAAUUAGCGGAUGACUUGUGGCUGGGGGUGAAAGGCCAAUCAAACCGGGAGAUAGCUGGUUCUCCCCGAAAGCUAUUUAGGUAGCGCCUCGUGAAUUCAUCUCCGGGGGUAGAGCACUGUUUCGGCAAGGGGGUCAUCCCGACUUACCAACCCGAUGCAAACUGCGAAUACCGGAGAAUGUUAUCACGGGAGACACACGGCGGGUGCUAACGUCCGUCGUGAAGAGGGAAACAACCCAGACCGCCAGCUAAGGUCCCAAAGUCAUGGUUAAGUGGGAAACGAUGUGGGAAGGCCCAGACAGCCAGGAUGUUGGCUUAGAAGCAGCCAUCAUUUAAAGAAAGCGUAAUAGCUCACUGGUCGAGUCGGCCUGCGCGGAAGAUGUAACGGGGCUAAACCAUGCACCGAAGCUGCGGCAGCGACGCUUAUGCGUUGUUGGGUAGGGGAGCGUUCUGUAAGCCUGUGAAGGUGUGCUGUGAGGCAUGCUGGAGGUAUCAGAAGUGCGAAUGCUGACAUAAGUAACGAUAAAGCGGGUGAAAAGCCCGCUCGCCGGAAGACCAAGGGUUCCUGUCCAACGUUAAUCGGGGCAGGGUGAGUCGACCCCUAAGGCGAGGCCGAAAGGCGUAGUCGAUGGGAAACAGGUUAAUAUUCCUGUACUUGGUGUUACUGCGAAGGGGGGACGGAGAAGGCUAUGUUGGCCGGGCGACGGUUGUCCCGGUUUAAGCGUGUAGGCUGGUUUUCCAGGCAAAUCCGGAAAAUCAAGGCUGAGGCGUGAUGACGAGGCACUACGGUGCUGAAGCAACAAAUGCCCUGCUUCCAGGAAAAGCCUCUAAGCAUCAGGUAACAUCAAAUCGUACCCCAAACCGACACAGGUGGUCAGGUAGAGAAUACCAAGGCGCUUGAGAGAACUCGGGUGAAGGAACUAGGCAAAAUGGUGCCGUAACUUCGGGAGAAGGCACGCUGAUAUGUAGGUGAAGUCCCUCGCGGAUGGAGCUGAAAUCAGUCGAAGAUACCAGCUGGCUGCAACUGUUUAUUAAAAACACAGCACUGUGCAAACACGAAAGUGGACGUAUACGGUGUGACGCCUGCCCGGUGCCGGAAGGUUAAUUGAUGGGGUUAGCCGCAAGGCGAAGCUCUUGAUCGAAGCCCCGGUAAACGGCGGCCGUAACUAUAACGGUCCUAAGGUAGCGAAAUUCCUUGUCGGGUAAGUUCCGACCUGCACGAAUGGCGUAAUGAUGGCCAGGCUGUCUCCACCCGAGACUCAGUGAAAUUGAACUCGCUGUGAAGAUGCAGUGUACCCGCGGCAAGACGGAAAGACCCCGUGAACCUUUACUAUAGCUUGACACUGAACAUUGAGCCUUGAUGUGUAGGAUAGGUGGGAGGCUUAGAAGUGUGGACGCCAGUCUGCAUGGAGCCGACCUUGAAAUACCACCCUUUAAUGUUUGAUGUUCUAACGUUGACCCGUAAUCCGGGUUGCGGACAGUGUCUGGUGGGUAGUUUGACUGGGGCGGUCUCCUCCUAAAGAGUAACGGAGGAGCACGAAGGUUGGCUAAUCCUGGUCGGACAUCAGGAGGUUAGUGCAAUGGCAUAAGCCAGCUUGACUGCGAGCGUGACGGCGCGAGCAGGUGCGAAAGCAGGUCAUAGUGAUCCGGUGGUUCUGAAUGGAAGGGCCAUCGCUCAACGGAUAAAAGGUACUCCGGGGAUAACAGGCUGAUACCGCCCAAGAGUUCAUAUCGACGGCGGUGUUUGGCACCUCGAUGUCGGCUCAUCACAUCCUGGGGCUGAAGUAGGUCCCAAGGGUAUGGCUGUUCGCCAUUUAAAGUGGUACGCGAGCUGGGUUUAGAACGUCGUGAGACAGUUCGGUCCCUAUCUGCCGUGGGCGCUGGAGAACUGAGGGGGGCUGCUCCUAGUACGAGAGGACCGGAGUGGACGCAUCACUGGUGUUCGGGUUGUCAUGCCAAUGGCACUGCCCGGUAGCUAAAUGCGGAAGAGAUAAGUGCUGAAAGCAUCUAAGCACGAAACUUGCCCCGAGAUGAGUUCUCCCUGACUCCUUGAGAGUCCUGAAGGAACGUUGAAGACGACGACGUUGAUAGGCCGGGUGUGUAAGCGCAGCGAUGCGUUGAGCUAACCGGUACUAAUGAACCGUGAGGCUUAACCUUACAACGCCGAAGG